CCUGAGAAACCCAAAAGAUCGAAUGGGGAGAUUCAUCGUCAAUGCAUUUGGUAUAUGUGCGUGUUAUGAUACGAGUUAUCCCUGUGAUAAUGCUCGUACGUGCAUGUUCAUUUUAUUGCUGGAUGUUGUCGGCGUGCACUUCUCCCCUAGUAGGACGUCGCGACCCGUUGGGUGUCGGUCUAUGGCCCGGAUGGGUAGUCUUUGAUUUUUAUAAUUGAAGACCGCCGGUGACCUAAUCGGCUGCUCGGCGGUAUUCGCACGAUAAUGAGUCGCAAUAUAUUAUUUAUAUGCGUCAGGCCCAUCGCAAGCGAGGCCAUUAAUCCCGGUAGUGCGGAUUUAAUGCCGUCACUGGGGCUGGCCAGCUGUUGGUUGUAUGGUGUUCUUUGACUGGCUCUAAUAUUAAUUAUCGGUCGGCGACGCUACUGCUUUGGGUACUUUCAGGACCCGUCUUGAAACACGGACCAAGGAGUCUAACAUGUGCGCAAGUCAUUGGGAUUUAUUUUUUAAAUUAAACCUAAAGGCGCAAUGAAAGUAAAGGUUGGCCUUGUGUCGGCCGAGGGAGGAUAAGUUGCGUUACGAUGACAGCUUCGCACUCCCGGGGCGUCUCAUUCUCAUUAUGAGAAGAGGCGCACCUAG
rnacentral:rRNA from 1 species